rnacentral:rRNA from 1 species
AACGAACGCUGGCGGCGCGCUUAACACAUGCAAGUCGAGCGGUCUCGCAAGGGACAGCGGCGAACGGGUGCGUAACACGUGGGUAAUCUGCCCUGGAGUGGGGGAUAACUCGCCGAAAGGCGAGCUAAUACCGCAUGAGCUCACGGCCUCUUCGGAGGCUGAGAGAAAAGGAGCAAUCCGCUCCAGGAUGAGCCCGCGGCCCAUCAGCUAGUUGGCGGGGUAACGGCCCACCAAGGCAACGACGGGUAGCUGGUCUGAGAGGACGACCAGCCACACUGGAACUGAGACACGGUCCAGACUCCUACGGGAGGCAGCAGUGGGGAAUCUUGCGCAAUGGGCGAAAGCCUGACGCAGCGACGCCGUGUGUGCGAUGAAGGUUUUCGGAUCGUAAAGCACUGUCGCCCGGGAAAAAGAAAUGAUGGUACCGGGAGAGGAAGCACCGGCUAACUCUGUGCCAGCAGCCGCCGUAACAC